UAUCUCAAAUAAUCUUUUGAGAGCCGCCGAACGGUUUCACUCUGUGAAUAUUGCCAAUACUCUGUCGUCGGAAACUGGGGCUGUUUCCAUUGCAUCAACUCAAAAACAUAUUCAUCUGCUAGAUUACAAUCUCUCCGGAAUACUCGACGAGGAGAUCUAACGGUAGCACGUCGUUGUCGUUGCUGUUACCGUCUGCCUCGCAGCCUCGCCAUCAGCCACUUCGUCAAAACCCUAGUUUGUUAAUGGAUAUGGGCUUGAAACCGCAAUUAUGUAACUGGAUUGGUUUUGUAAUUGGGAUUGUUAUUGGAUUUUAUAUUCAUUUGAGCCCAUUAUCUG